GAUGGGUAGGGGAGCUUCCCAUACGGGUUGAAGCAUGACCGUAAGGACAUGUGGACAGUAUGGGAGUGAGAAUGUUGGCAUGAGUAGCGAGAUGUGGGUGAGAAUCCCACAGGCCGUAAACCCAAGGUUUCCAGGGGAAGGUUCGUCCGCCCUGGGUUAGUCGGGACCUAAGCUGAGGCCGAAAGGCGUAGGUGAUGGACAACAGGUUGAUAUUCCUGUACUACCGAUAACCGUUUGAGAGAUGGGAUGACACAGUAGGAUAAGCUAAGCACACUGUUGGUUAUGUGUGCCCAAGCAUUGAGGCAGUCAAAGUAGGUAAAUCCGCUUUGAUAAUGCUGGGAUGUGAUGGGGAGCGAAAUUUAGUAGCGAAGUAGCUGAUUUCACACUGUCAAGAAAAGUCUCUAUCGAGGUUAAAGGUACCCGUACCGCAAACCGACACAGGUGGGUGAGGAGAGUAUCCUAAGGCCCGCGAGAGAACUGUUGUUAAGGAACUCGGCAAAAUGACCCCGUAACUUAGGGAUAAGGGGUGCCACCAU
rnacentral:rRNA from 1 species